AAUCGCCUAAUUACUCGAAGACUUGCGUUCCUACGUGAGGUAUCAGUAGAGUGAUUAGGCGAUU
rnacentral:sRNA from 12 species